UACGUAGGGCGCAAGCGUUAUCCGGAAUUAUUGGGCGUAAAGAGCUCGUAGGCGGUUUGUCGCGUCUGCCGUGAAAGUCCGGGGCUCAACUCCGGAUCUGCGGUGGGUACGGGCAGACUAGAGUGAUGUAGGGGAGACUGGAAUUCCCGGUGUAGCGGUGAAAUGCGCAGAUAUCGGGAGGAACACCGGUGGCGAAGGCGGUUCUCUGGGCCUGACCUGACGCUGAGGAGCGAAAGCGUGGGGAGCGAACAGG
rnacentral:rRNA from 1 species